AGCAGCCGCGGUAAUUCCAGCUCCAAUAGCGUAUAUUAAAGUUGUUGCAGUUAAAAAGCUCGUAGUUGAAUUUCGGGAUUGACACAUCGGUCGUGCCUUAAGGGGUGUGAACUGGUGUAGUCAAUUUCUCACCUUCUGGAGAACCGCGAUGUCCUUAAUUGGGUGCCGCGAGGAACCAGGACCUUUACUUUGAAAAAAUUAGAGUGUUUAAAGCAGGCAUUUUUGCUUGAAUACAUUAGCAUGGAAUAAUAAAAUAGGACGGCAUGAUUCUAUUUUGUUGGUUUCUAGGAUCACCGUAAUGAUUAAUAGGGAUAGUUGGGGGCAUUAGUAUUCAAUUGUCAGAGGUGAAAUUCUUGGAUUUAUUGAAGACUAACUACUGCGAAAGCAUUUGCCAAGGAUGUUUUCAUUAAUCAAGAACGAAAGUUAGGGGAUCGAAGACGAUCAGAUACCGUCGUAGUCUUAACCAUAAACUAUGCCGACUAGGAAUCAGACGAUGUUAAUUUUUUAAUGACUCGUUUGGCGCCUUACG
rnacentral:rRNA from 1 species